GGGAGGCGGGGCUGGGCAGCUGCCGUUACCGUCUGUCGCAGGAGGCAGCCGCGGGCGGGGGGUGAGGCGAGAGGGGGACGUGGAGCCGCUGUCAUGAGCUACUCAGUGGCAGCUGUGCAUGUAUAGCAAUGAUUCUCAACCUUGGGGUUAUGGAACUGCUGUCGUUUUCUACAGACUCAAGGCUUAAGGUUAUGGCAACUGGAACUCUAAGACAAAUAGAG